GGACUACUGGGGUUUCUAAUCCCGUUUGCUCCCCUGGCUUUCGUGUCUCAGCGUCAGCACACUCCCAGCGAGCUGUUUUCACCGUUGGCGUUCCAAAUGAUAUCUACGCAUUUCACCGCUCCACCAUUUGUUCCGCUCGCCCCUAAGUGGCUCAAGACAACUAGUAUGCCAAGCAGUUCCACGGUUAAGCCGUGGGAUUUCACAAGGCACUUAGUCAUCCGCCUACACACGCUUUAAGCCCAGUGAUUCCGCCUAACGCUUGGCACCUCUGUAUUACCGCGGCGGCUGGCAC
rnacentral:rRNA from 1 species